rnacentral:piRNA from 1 species
GAUUGAUCCAGUCUGAAAGAGAAGCAG